AAUAGAUACCCUGGUAGUCCACGCCGUAAACGAUGAGUGCUAAGUGUUAGAGGGUUUCCGCCCUUUAGUGCUGCAGCUAACGCAUUAGGCACUCCGCCUGGGGAGUACGGCCGCAAGGCUGAAACUCAAAGGAAUUGACGGGGGCCCGCACAAGCGGUGGAGCAUGUGGUUUAAUUCGAAGCAACGCGAAGAACCUUACCAGGUCUUGACAUCCUCUGACACUCCUAGAGAUAGGACUUUCCCCUUCGGGGGACAGAGUGACAGGUGGUGCAUGGUUGUCGUCAGCUCGUGUCGUGAGAUGUUGGGUUAAGUCCCGCAACGAGCGCAACCCUUGAUCUUAGUUGCCAGCAUUCAGUUGGGCACUCUAAGGUGACUGCCGGUGACAAACCGGAGGAAGGUGGGGAUGACGUCAAAUCAUCAUGCCCCUUAUGACCUGGGCUACACACGUGCUACAAUGGAUGGUACAAAGGGCAGCAAAGCCGCGAGGCCUAGCCAAUCCCAUAAAACCAUUCUCAGUUCGGAUUGGUA
rnacentral:rRNA from 1 species